rnacentral:rRNA from 1 species
GCGACGCAUAUCGGAAGGGUAACCACUGGUAUGACGGAGCGUCGAACGGGUGAGUAACACGUGAGUAACCUACCCCAAAGACUGGGAUAGCCCGGGGAAACCCGUGAUUAAUACCGGAUACCCUCGCAGGGUCGCAUGGCCUAGCGAGGAAACGGUCCGCUACUUUGGGAGGGACUCGCGGCCUAUCAGCUUGUUGGUGAGGUAACGGCUCACCAAGGCAACGACGGGUAGCUGGUCUGAGAGGACGAUCAGCCACACUGGGACUGAGACACGGCCCAGACUUCUACGGGAGGCAGCAGCAGGGAAUCUUGUCCAAUGGGCGAAAGCCUGAGACAGCGAUGCCGCGUGAGGGAUGAAGGCCUUCGGGUUGUAAACCUCUUUCAGAAGGGACGAAUAAAUGACGGUACCUUCAGAAGAAGCCCCGGCUAACUACGUGCCAGCAGCCGCGGUAAUACGUAGGGGGCGAGCGUUGUCCGGAUUUAUUGGGCGUAAAGGGCUCGUAGGCGGCUCAGCAAGUCGAUCGUGAAAACCCGAGGCUUAACCUCGGGACGCCGGUCGAUACUGCUGUGGCUAGGGUCCGGUAGAGGAGAAUGGAAUUCCCGGUGUAGCGGUGAAAUGCGCAGAUAUCGGGAGGAACACCAGUAGCGAAGGCGGUUCUCUGGGCCGGUACCGACGCUGAGGAGCGAAAGCGUGGGGAGCAAACAGGA